GAGGCUGUACCAAGAUGUGAUGUUGAAAGCGCUGACAGACUCUGUAACUUUCCCCCUCCCCCUGUGUAUUCUGGUGGAAUUUAUACCGUGCGAAAAUGGGAUCCAUAGUAGUAGAUACUGUAGCUGCACGUUUCCUCGGAGUGUAGCAGUCCAGAGAACAUCAGCUCCACAUGCAGGAGGAAUUUCUUCCAUGCAUCAGGUGGCUUGGAGGAAUCCCAAUUACCGUGGUGGACGUCGUGGACUGCUCCUCAGACCGUCGCACACAAUGACGCGUUACGCGUAGCACAACACAUUGUGCAAAAAUAUCAAUCUUAAUGAAAAAGUAGUCUUCAUAUUUUAUAUCCUUGCUCAAAAUUGGAAAAGAAUCAGCACACAUGUCUGAGUGAAGGAAACACGAGUACAUGAAACCACUACAUUGA